ACGGGAGGCAGCAGUGGGGAAUCUUGGACAAUGGGCGCAAGCCUGAUCCAGCAAUGCCGCGUGGGUGAAGACGGCCUGCGGGUUGUAAAGCCCUUUUGGCGGGGAAGAAGGCGUCGCGGUGAACAGCCGCGGCGGGUGACGUUACCCGCUGAAGAAGCACCGGCCAACUCCGUGCCAGCAGCUGCGGUAAUACGGAGGGUGCGAGCGUUAAUCGGAAUUACUGGGCGUAAAGCGCACGUAGGCGGUCGUUCAAGUCCGUUGUGAAAGCCCCGGGCUCAACCUGGGAAUGGCAAGGGCGACUGAGCGACUGGAGUGUAACAGAGGACCGUGGAAUUCCCGGUGUAGCGGUGAAAUGCGCAGAUAUCAGGAGGAACACCAAUGGCGAAGGCAGCUCGCUGGGACGGUACUGACGCUGAGGCGCGAAAGCGUGGGGAGCAAACAGGAUUAGAUACCCUGGUAGUCCACGCUGUAAACGAUGAGCACUAGGUGUAGCGGGUAUUGACCCCUGCUGUGCCGUAGCUAACGCAUUAAGUGCUCCGCCUGGGGAGUACGGCCGCAAGGCUAAAACUCAAAGGAAUUGACGG
rnacentral:rRNA from 1 species